AGGACCAUUUGAACUCUUGACCUCAAAUCAGGUAGGACUACCCGCUGAACUUAAGCAUAUCAAUAAGCGGAGGAAAAGAAACUAACAAGGAUUCCCCUAGUAACUGCGAGUGAAGCGGGAAAAGCUCAAAUUUUGAAUCUGGCGGUCUUUGCAGGCCGUCCGAGUUGUAAUCUAGAGAAGCGUCUUCCGCGCCGGCCUGUGUACAAGUCUCCUGGAAGGGAGCGUCAUAGAGGGUGAGAAUCCCGUCUCUGACACGGACCACCGGUGCUAUGUGAUGCGCUCUCGACGAGUCGAGUUGUUUGGGAAUGCAGCUCAAAAAGGGUGGUAAACUCCAUCUAAAGCUAAAUAUUGGCGAGAGACCGAUAGCGAACAAGUACCGUGAGGGAAAGAUGAAAAGGACUCUGGAAAGAGAGUUAAACAGUACGUGAAAUUGCUGAAAGGGAAACGCUCGAUGUCAGUCGCGUCGGCUGGGGGUCAACCUUGCGGUUUCGCUGGGUGUAUUUCCUGGUCGACGGGUCAGCAUCAGUUUUGGUCGUCGUACAAGGGCCAAGGGAAAGUGGCACCCUUCCGGGGGUGUGUUAUAGCCUUUCGGUCGUAUGUGGCGGCUCGGGACUGAGGAGACUCGGUGUGGGCUUCGGCUUACACUAGAGAUGCUGGCAUAAUGGCCUUGAGCGACCCG
rnacentral:rRNA from 1 species